rnacentral:piRNA from 1 species
UCNGAGAAACAUGCUAUUUGCUUAGGGC